GACGAACGCUGGCGGCGUGCUUAACACAUGCAAGUCGAACGGAAAGGCCCUGCUUUUGUUUGGUUCUCGAUUGGCGAACGGGUGAGUAACACGUGAGUAACCUGCCCUUGACUUUGUGAUAACUUCAGGAAACUGGGGCUAAUACCGGAUAGGAGCUCCUGCUGCAUGGUGGGGGUUGGAAAGUUUCGGCGGUUGGGGAUGGACUCGCGGCUUAUCAGCUUGUUGGUGGGGUAGUUGCUUACCAAGGCUUUGACGGGUAGCCGGCCUGAGAGGGUGACCGGCCACAAUGGGACUGAGAGACGGCGCAGAAGCGUACGGGAGGCAGCAGGGGGGAAUAUUGCACAAUGGGCGGAAGCCUGAUGCAGAGACGCCGGGUGCGGGAUGACGGCUUUCGGGGUGUAAACAGAUUUCGCCUGUGACGAAGAGUGAGUGACGGUAAUGGGUAAAGAAGCACCGGCUAACUACGUG
rnacentral:rRNA from 1 species